rnacentral:rRNA from 1 species
GGAACGUCGCCCAGUCGGUGGGGAAUAACGUAGACGAAAGUUACGCUAAUACCGCAUACGAUCUAAGGAUGAAAGCGGGGGAUCGCAAGACCUCGCGCGAUUGGAGCGGCCGAUAUCAGAUUAGGUAGUUGGUGGGGUAAAGGCUCACCAAGCCAACGAUCUGUAGCUGGUCUGAGAGGACGACCAGCCACACUGGAACUGAGACACGGUCCAGACUCCUACGGGAGGCAGCAGUGAGGAAUAUUGGUCAAUGGGCGCAAGCCUGAACCAGCCAUGCCGCGUGAAGGAAGAAGGUUCUAUGGAUUGUAAACUUCUUUUAUUUAGGAAUAAACCUCCCGACGUGUCGGGAGCUGAAGGUACUAAAUGAAUAAGCACCGGCUAACUCCGUG